rnacentral:rRNA from 1 species
UAAGGUAGCAUAAUCAUUUGUCUUUUAAAUGAAGACUGGAACAAAAGAUUUAACAUUUUAAUAAAUAUAUAUUAUUAAAUCAAUUAAAGUUAUCUUUAAAGUAAAAAGACUUUAAUACAUAAGAAAGACGACAAGACCCUGUUGAACUUAACUAUUGUUAAACUGGGGCAGUUAUUAAAUUAUAAUUUUUUAUAUAAAAUUAAUAAAUAACUGAUCUAAUAUAAUUAAUCUACUGAUCAAGUUACCAUAGGGAUAACAGCGUAAUAUACUUUUAAAGACCUUAUAUAAAUAUAAGCUUACGACCUC